rnacentral:SRP_RNA from 1 species
UUGGCACUUCGGGCUCGUCUCUAUUGGAACGUGAGGGCGGUGACCGCGAGAGCAGCGGCGGUCGCACUGGACA